CACAAGGCCCCUUUAGGCAGAGCUUAGACCAGAGUUACAUCACCUGGAUGAUCAUUGCAGAGAUAUGUCACAAUGUCCCCAUAGGCAAAUCCAAGACAAGCGUUCGUCACCUGGGUGAUCAUUGCAGAAAUAUGUGACAAUGCCCUCAGGAGGCGGAGCCUACAGAAGAGUCCAAUCACCUGCGUGAUCAGUGCAGAGAUAUUUCACAAUGCCCCUGCAGGCAGAGUGUAAGCAAGAGUUACAUCACCUAGAUGAUCAGUGCAGAGAUAUGUCACAAGGCCCCCUAUAGGCAGAGCCUGGACAAGAGUUACAUCACCUCAGUGAUCAAUGCAGUGAUAUGUCACUAUGCCCCGUAGGAAGAGUCUAAACAAGCGUUACAUCACCUAGGUGAUCAGUGCAGAGAUAUGUCACAAAGCCCCCACACACAGAGCCUAGACAAGAG
rnacentral:lncRNA from 10 species